GACGAACGCUGGCGGCGCGCCUAACACAUGCAAGUCGAACGGAGCUGAGAGGAGCUUGCUUUUCUUAGCUUAGUGGCGAACGGGUGAGUAACGCGUGAGUAACCUGCCCUGGAGUGGGGGACAACAGUUGGAAACGACUGCUAAUACCGCAUAAGCCCACGAUCCGGCAUCGGAUUGAGGGAAAAGGAUUUAUUCGCUUCAGGAUGACUCGCGUCCAAUUAGCUAGUUGGUGAGGUAACGGCCCACCAAGGCGACGAUUGGUAGCCGGACUGAGAGGUUGAACGGCCACAUUGGGACUGAGACACGGCCCAGACUCUACGGGAGGCAGCAGUGGGGGAUAUUGCACAAUGGGGGAAACCCUGAUGCAGCGACGCCRCGUGGAGGAAGAAGGUUUUCGGAUUGUAAACUCCUGUCGUUAGGGACGAUAAUGACGGUACCUAACAAGAAAGCACCGGCUAACUACGUGC
rnacentral:rRNA from 1 species